AUUGAACGCUGGCGGCAGGCUUAACACAUGCAAGUCGAACGAGUGGCGGACGGGUGAGUAAUGCUUGGGAAUCUAGCUUAUGGAGGGGGAUAACUACGGGAAACUGUAGCUAAUACCGCGUACCAUAGGCUGAGCCCAAGUGGGAUGGGCUAGUAGGUGGGGUAAUGGCUCACCUAGGCGACGAUCCCUAGCUGGUCUGAGAGGAUGACCAGCCACACUGGAACUGAGACACGGGCCAGACUCCUACGGGAGGCAGCAGUGGGGAAUAUUGCACAAUGGGCGAAAGCCUGAUGCAGCCAUGCCGCGUGUGUGAAGAAGGCCUUCGGGUUGUAAAGUUCUUUCGGUAGAGAGGCGUUAACUACAGAAGAAGCACCGGCUAACUCCGUGCCAGCAGCCGCGGUAAUUC
rnacentral:rRNA from 1 species